UUCCAAGAGCAGCACCCCAUGUCGGGCAGAGGCCUUAGCGGAACCCAGCAGACCCAGAGACUUUGAACCUAUGGACUUUCCGACUUCAUCAGGCAUUCAGGAGCUAGACUGAGGCUUCUGUCCCUAGGGAUCCUGCUGGUCAGGGGCCAGCGGAGAGACGCCUGCGGAGGACAACACUCAACUUGCUUUUGCAGGCAGGUCAACAAGCAUUUAUUAAGCACCUGCUGCGGAUGGGAGAAAUCCAGGACUUUCUCACCUAGAAUGCUCCAUGACCACACUGGACCCUUCUUAAAGCCCGUUCUUGAUGCCAUGUCUUUAGUGUAAGCCCUAAUCUAGAGGCAGUGGGAGGGAUCAUCCCUAUUUAACAGAUGAACAAACUGAGGCCCAGGGACUGGAGUCUGUGAACCCGGCUUUCCUGACAUAGCAACAAUCCCAUCCCUGUCCUGGUUCCAGAGAAUUCCAAAGAUCUGCCUUGCUCUUCCCGACAACUCACCUAGGCAACCUUUGUGGCUGCUAUUAACAGGGGGUGGGAACUGCAGGGGAGAUGGGCCAAGGAUGACGCUGGACCCACAUCUAACAGACAGGAGGCCCUGCUGGCUGGGAGAGAGGAGAUAAGGAGCCGACGGCGAUGUUGGAUUGAUAACGUGAUUCCCGCAGGUGGGAAUUUUAAAGUGUUUUUAUGUCAUAGAAUCAUUUGACCCAGGGAGGAACAAGAAGCAGAUGAAUCCACUUUGCUGUUGAGAACACUGAGGCUCCAUGACCUUCCAGAGCCACACAGCUAGCAGGAGGCCCUGCCUAGCCUGUGGAGGAAGAUCCGCCCGCUGCAGGAAGGAACUGACGGGGCUCCAGGAGAGAGGGGCAGGCGAGCCCAGGGGCAGGAGCCCACCCCACAGCCCCGCCACACCGAGCCCUUCAAGACAUCUGGUCCCAGCAUCCCCUGCCUGCUGUCCCUGCUUUGGCAGCUGCCCACGGGGCUGGGGCCGGCUCCAUAAAAUCAAUAGUUGGUUGGCUUGAGCUGGCUGAGUCUGCCCCCCGGAGCUCAGGUGUGACGGCAAUGAAUCACGCUAAUGGCAGGAGGUGACCGUUCCUUCUCUUUGUGGCCUGGAGACAGGUAUUUCCAAAGCUCCUGCCCUGGCUCAGGCAAACACACAUGACCUCUCUUUUCUUUCCUGGGCCCUGGGUAAAGCAGAGUAGCCAGGGACAAAGUGGGGUGAACCAGACAGAGCUGGAGAGCUCCCCCCCACCUCAUCCUGCCAGUGCCCCUGCCAGCCUGGGAUCCCGGCCGGCACGGCCCUCCCUCCCUGGAGGAGAGGACAAGUGUGUGGUGACCUUGGGGUAUGUGUCAGUCUUCCCCACUACCCUCCCUGCUGCUGGCACACUGCCUCAGCCUCUUCCGAGAACAAUCUGGCAAGUUCUAAAAUCUACAAACUGCAAAAAACCCAGAGAGAUGGGAGGGCCAUAGCCCCUGGAGGCCCACGAGGCAAACUGACCUGACUGGAGUGAGAUGGAAUCUCAGUGUAGUUUUAAUUUGAAUUUCUCUAAUUGCUAGAGACGUUGAACAUCUUUACAUAUUUGUU